rnacentral:lncRNA from 1 species
CCCGUCUCGUCUUUCCUCCAAGCUAUACAUGUUAAGAUCCUUUAACCUUUCCUGGUAAGUUUUAUCCUGCAAUCCAUGAACCAGUUUAGUAGCCCUUCUCUGAACUCUCUAAAGUAUCAAUAUCCUUCUGAAGAUACGGUCUCCAGUACUGCAUACAAUACUCCAAGUGAGGUCUCACCAGUGUUCUGUACAAUGGCAUGAGCACUUCC